UACGGAGGGUGCAAGCGUUAUCCGGAUUCACUGGGUUUAAAGGGUGCGUAGGCGGUCAAGUAAGUCAGUGGUGAAAUCUCCGGGCUUAACCCGGAAACUGCCAUUGAUACUAUUUGUCUUGAAUACUGUGGAGGUCAGCGGAAUAUGUCAUGUAGCGGUGAAAUGCUUAGAUAUGACAUAGAACACCAAUUGCGAAGGCAGCUGGCUACACAAAUAUUGACACUGAGGCACGAAAGCGUGGGGAUCAAACAGG
rnacentral:rRNA from 1 species